UAAAGGUGGCCUCUUCUAUGCUGCCGGGUUGGGAUCGGCCCGCGUCCCAUUAGCUAGUUGGUGAGGUAACGGCCCACCAAGGCAACGAUGGGCAGCCGGCCUGAGAGGGUGUCCGGCCACACUGGCACUGAGACAAGGGCCAGUCCCCUAUGGGAGGCGCAGGCGGGAAUAGUUCCCAAUGGACGAAAGUCUGAGGACGCGACGCCGCGUGAGCGAAGAAGGCCUUCGGGUUGUAAAGCUUUGUCAGGAGGGAAGAAGGCGCUGGGUGUUAAUAGCACCAAGCGUUGACGGUACUUCCAGAGGAAGCCCCGGCUAAAUACGUGCCAGCAGCCGCGGUAAUACGUAUGGGGCAAGCGUUGUCCGGAUUAACUGGGCGUAAAGGGCACGCAGGCGGUUCGUUUAGUCGAAGGUGAAAUCCCUGGGCUCAACUCAGGAACUGCCUUCGAUACUGGCGAACUAGAGUGGCGUAGAGGAAAGCGGAACUCCUGGUGUAACGGUGGAAUGUGUAGAUAUCAGGAGGAACACCGGUGGCGAAGGCGGCUUUCUGGACGCACACUGACGCUCAGGUGCGAAAGCGUGGGUAGCAAACAGGAUUAGAUACCCUGGUAGUCCACGCCGUAAACGAUGGGUACUAGGUGUCGGGGGUAUCGAUCCCCUCGGUGCCGAAGUCAACGCAUUAAGUACCCCGCCUGGGGAGUAUGGUCGCAAGGCUGAAACUCAAAGGAAUUGACGGGUCCCCGCACAAGCGGUGGAGCAUGUGGUUUAAUUCGACGCAACGCGAAGAACCUUACCUGGGCUUGACAUGCUUGGGACAGCGCUGGAAACAGCGUCUCUCCCUCGGGAGUCCUUGCACAGGUGCUGCAUGGCUGUCGUCAGCUCGUGUCGUGAGAUGUCGGGUUAAGUCCCUCAACGAGCGCAACCCUCGUUACUAGUUGCCAUCAGUUCGGCUGGGCACUCUAGUGAGACUGCCGGUGACAAACCGGAGGAAGGUGAGGAUGAUGUCAAGUCAUCAUGGCCCUUACGCCCAGGGCUACACGCGUGCUACAAUGGUCGGCACAAAGGGCAGCCAAACCGCGAGGUGGAGCUAAUCCCAUAAAGCCGGCCCCAGUACGGAUUGGAGUCUGCAACUCGACUCCAUGAAGGCGGAAUCGCUAGUAAUCGCGGAUC
rnacentral:rRNA from 1 species